rnacentral:rRNA from 1 species
UACGGAGGGGACUAGCGUUGUUCGGAAUUACUGGGCGUAAAGCGCACGUAGGCGGAUUUGUAAGUCAGGGGUGAAAUCCCGGGGCUCAACCUCGGAACUGCCUUUGAUACUGCAAAUCUCGAGUCCGGAAGAGGUGAGUGGAAUUCCUAGUGUAGAGGUGAAAUUCGUAGAUAUUAGGAGGAACACCAAUGGCGAAAGCAGCUUUCUGGGACGGUACUGACGCUGAGACGCGAAAGCGUGGGGAGCGAACAGG